ACUGCGGAGCCGCAGCGCGCCAAGGCCAGAGUCCUCGCGGCCGCGGGAACCCGGGCAAGUGCAAGCCUGGCUUCCCGCGCUGAAGUCCCGGGAGCCGCGGGCAAGCGCUGACCGUGCCCCCGCGGAGGCUUCCCGCGCAGUCAGCCCUACAGUGACUUCCUUUCCUAGACCUCCGCGUUCAAAUUCAGCAAGCAACUGCCGGACACCUAACGUUUCCUGGACCUGGCUGCGUGCUUCACACGCAAACUGGUGUCUGCUCUCCGGCUGCUGUGCCAAACUGCAUCUUCUUUUCCACGAAGUCAUAAUGAUAAUCUACUGUUCUUUUUGCAGGCUAUGGAGAUGAGAGGAAGACAUUUAAAUUCCUUUUGAUAAGAAAAGUCACUGCCAACCUAGGAUGGAAAUAGAAGCUAAAAAAGGAUUUUCCUCUUCCUCCCCCAUGGCAAUAUGAAGAAAUAUGGAUACCAUCUGUGCCAGAUUGUUGGCAAUUUGCCACCAUUCCCUCCUCUAUAUCAUCCUCUGUACCUCAUAGUCUAAAAGCCUGGAAACCACAUUUCCCAGAAUGCCUACUAUAAGCAGCUGCAGUCCUAGCCCGGGACACAUGGGUGGUGAGUAAUGCACUGACUGUAUAGUUCAGUGUCUACUCACUUUCUCAGCAUAAUGACUCUGUGAAGUAUGUGGACCGGCCAAUUCUCUGUGGUAGCUCUCAUGCCAGGCCAGUAUCACAGCUCAAGUUUUAAAAAAAACUGAAGGAAGGACUCUGGAGAAGGUACCUGCCUCUAGAAAUCAAUCACCACGAGUUUGAGAACCAACGUGGACAGCACCCACUAAAACCAAAUGUGUUUCCUACAAUACUAGGCCUGCAGGAAAUUCUUAGUGAAUAUUGUAUUGACAGAGAUUACAAAAUAAUCCCAAACCUCUACAUCAGAGUCGCAAAGAAGAAGCCUUGGGCCAAAUCAUCCCACAGACAGUUCUGGAGGUUGGAAUUCUGAGAAGAGGGUGCCAGCAGGGUCGGGAUCUGGUGAGGAUCCUCUUCCUCAGGACCCAUGAAAACUUCUGCAUGACAAGAACAUCACACUCAAGGCAUGAGGCUCCAGGAACUGUGUGUUGGACUCAUCAGACUACGACUCUCUGAUACCACCCUAAUGUUCGCGUGGGAAUGGCUGUAGGUACAACUUCAUCUAAGGACCUGCGAUCAUUCCCCCUCCCCCGACCCUGCCCUGUAGCCAAGGCAACUACGCUUAGAGUGGGUGCUCCUGGACCUAAACAGGCACUCUUAAAGAUCUUUUUUAUGAAUAAAUGAAACUUUUAAACAUCCAGCAGAGCUGGGAGCUUUUUGCUCACCACCUAGUUUCUACCAUUAACAUUUAAAGAUACUUUUUAUCACAUAUCUAUUCCUCUAUCCACCUGCAUACUUAUUAACUAGUUAUACAUUACAUUUUUUCUUUUGAUGUAAAAUGUACAU